GGCCCCUCAGCAUCGCACCUGGAGAGUUUCAAGUCCUCUACCAGUCUCAGCUACGGAAGGGAGAGUCAAGCAGAGGCCUGUCCAUUCCAUUUCUAGCUUGGGCAGUGACUAGUGAGUGGAAGACAAUCUGCUAUAAGC